rnacentral:rRNA from 1 species
CCUACGGGUGGCAGCAGUGGGGAAUAUUGGGCAAUGGAGGCAACUCUGACCCAGCAACGCCGCGUGAAUGAUGAAGGUCUUCGGAUUGUAAAGUUCUGUGAUGGGGGAUGAACACAAUGACGGUACCCCAAUAGCAAGCCACGGCUAACUACGUGCAAGCAGCCGCGGAAAUCCGUAGGUGGCAAGCGUUAUCUGGAAUGACUGGGCGUAAAGGGUGUGUAGGUGGUUUAGUAAGUUGGCGGUGUAAUUCCGGGGCUCAACCUUGGCGCUACCGACAACACUAGUAGACUAGAGUGCCGGAGAGGUAAGUAGAAUUCCUGGUGUAGCGGUGGAAGGCGUAGAGAUUAGGAGGAACAUCAGGGGCGAAGGCGACUUACUGGAC